rnacentral:rRNA from 2 species
CUACGGGAGGCAGCAGUAGGGAAUCUUCCGCAAUGGACGAAAGUCUGACGGAGCAACGCCGCGUGAGUGAUGAAGGUUUUCGGAUCGUAAAGCUCUGUUGUUAGGGAAGAACAGUACCGUUCGAAUAGGGCGUACCUUGACGGUACCUAACCAGAAAGCCACGGCUAACUACGUGCCAGCAGCCGCGGUAAUACGUAGGUGGCAAGCGUUGUCCGGAAUUAUUGGGCGUAAAGGGCUCGCAGGCGGUUUCUUAAGUCUGAUGUGAAAGCCCCCGGCUCAACCGGGGAGGGUCAUUGGAAACUGGGGAACUUGAGUGCAGAAGAGGAGAGUGGAAUUCCACGUGUAGCGGUGAAAUGCGUAGAGAUGUGGAGGAACACCAGUGGCGAAGGCGACUCUCUGGUCUGUAACUGACGCUGAGGAGCGAAAGCGUGGGGAGCGAACAGGAUUAGAUACCCUGGUAGUCCACGCCGUAAACGAUGAGUGCUAAGUGUUAGGGGGUUUCCGCCCUUNAGUGCUNGACCUAACGCAUUAAGCACUCCGCCUGGGGAGUACGGUCGCAAGACUGAAACUCAAAGGAAUUGACGGGGGNCCGCACAAGCGGUG